rnacentral:misc_RNA from 1 species
AUAUUAUAAAUCACCACAAAAUAUCCUCAUUCACUAUAAUUUACGCAUAUCUGGUUUAAAUCGGUUAAACAUUACCGAAAUGACAAAUAAAAUGUCACUAUAAAAAAACAACAUGGCGCCUCGUUGAUUAAACGUCAAUCAGUGCUUCAGUGUUUCGCCGCCAACAAGCUUUACUGGCGCUGGCGGCGCUUUAUUAAAGACUUAUUCAGGGUGGCCCUCGAUUUAAAAAAAAAUAUCACCAUAAUAAUUUCCUUGCCGUGUGCCAUAUCGAAGACAAUAGAAAUAAUUAAAAAAAUAAAUAAAAUCUUAAGCCGUCGCACACCUUACGUCAAUUAUUCGUCCCUAUUAUGUCAACCGGCGAACCGACAGUCGAAAUAAACAAAAGUACAACGCCCCGAGACAAAAGAAGCAUUAUUACCUAAUUACCAUAAUCAUUAUGGUAAUAUUUCAUGGGCAAAUAAUCAUACAAUACGCUUAUUAGCAUAAAAUUUCAUUAGUUCCUUACCCACCUUUAAAUAUUUCUGAAUCAGAAGACACUGUGUGUGUGUGUGUGUAAUAGGAUUGUUUACUUUCUAGGAUCCACGUACCGAAGUACUUUGCUCUCUUUUCAACACGUGCGAUUAAUAUAGUGUGGUAUGUCUUGGACUAAGCAUUCCGUUGCCAAAUUUCCCUUUAGUAUAAGAUGCUUAAAUAUUGAACUGGCCCCAGGAAGCAACCAAUGAGGCAAUUAAAACACAGCGUAAAAAGAAACGUUCAAUUUUCAAAAAUUUAGCAAAUAAGAUAUAAUAAACAACCAAAUUUAUAACGAAUCAUAACAUAACAACUUAAUAAAUGUGAACGAUUUUCCGAACCAGUUCAACUUGAAAGCGGUGUAUAAAAACGGCAUUCUUCACGGGGUCAUUCGUGCGUCGCGUCGCGCAACUCGGCAACGCCGCCCGACUUCAAAACAUUGAAAAUGGCGUCGUUAUGAUUCGGAAUCCCGUCGGUCGCCCUUAUCUCGUUUUCGAAUCGGUUUAAAUAAACAAAUAGAGGCGAACCGGUGCCGAAAUCCCGCUUAAAUGUUAACAACGUUCAAUAAACAACAGGGAAACGGUAAGAAAUCGGUCGUAUUCAGCCAACAAAUGCGCGAAAAUCCCCGGUGAAAAUGUAAUGUUCCCUUUGUUCCGGACGCGGUUGUGCAAGUGUCCAUGUUUGAUCUUCAUUUGUUGUUUUUUUAUGGGACAGUUUAAUAUUGUUGCUGGUAUUCGCCUUCUAUGCCCUUUCGUCUGGAUACACUAAGGAUACCCUCUUAGCAGCAGACACGUAAAGGUUUAAGGAGUGCUGGUUGCUGUAUAGGAUCAUAUAUAUAUAUAUAUGGAAAAGCACACUCUCACUUAAUAGGAGCCCUUUUAGAUUCACCCAAUAAAUGACCCACCACCAUCUUCAGCGAUGUUAAACACCGCUCGAUAAUGACGUCACUGCCCCCCACCACUACCACCACCACCAGCGCAAUGACCACCCUCGACUGUGCAGAAGCAGUUGAACCGACGCCACCCCAGUCAGGUCGAGCCGGGGGUGAGAACCGGAAAGUACGUCGGUGCAAACGGGUCUACGGCCGUAAUAGAGGGAGAUCGCAACAUAACGGCCCUAUAACGGAGAUAAUUAACGUUAACGCGUCGAUCGGUGCCACGAACGAGCGUUUAACGUCGUGCGAUAGCGACUUAUUAGAACCUAAAAAUGUCUGUGAUCAAUUUUUAUUUAAAGACUGUAAUUUAGCGUUUAGGUUAGCGUUUACGGUUACGCGUAAGUUAUUUGUGUGCCUAUACUCUCUGAUGUGCGGGAAGUCGUCGAUUUCGUUAGUUUUAACGUUAGCGUUUGCGGUGGUGUUGAGUGCGGGUCGUGUCAGCGCUUGGGCGAACGAGCUGGAUAAAACCGAACAAUUUUUGGAUAAAAUCAAUUUGGAGGAGAAGAGUAUCGCGGCGGUGUUUAAUAAGGUCGCGUAUGGGAGUACGACGAAGAGGAGUAUACCGGAUAACUCGUAUCCCGUUACCACCAUGGCUACCAUGUUAUUAACCACUUUCAGAUACUCGGACGGCUCGGAGGAGUGGGCACGCGUCGACAUUAAAAACCGCAACUCGAACCAACCGGAACCCGAACGUUCCAAUGUGGACUUCGAACAGCCCGAGUUCGAACCCGAAAACUCCCGAAGGGAUUUGGACGGUUACGGGACGGAUUUGGAAAAAGACCACGUGUUACCCACCUCGGCCCCGGCGGCGGACAUUUUGAAAAAUAACAACAACCGGCAGUACGGAAAUCCUAACAGAUACAACAACGACCGGAUACGUCCAGACGUCAACUCCCCCCACGAGCAAGUCACCGAGAACAUCUACAAAACCACGACCACCUACAACCUGCUGCGCAACGUCAAACCGACCAAAUCGAUCUACAGCAAAGCAUCCCCCAGCUACAUCCCACCCAGCAGGGCCUUCUUCACUCCCCCCUUACCUCCGGCCUUACAAAACCCUUACGCGGACAAGCCUACUUUACGCGGCACUAAUUCGGACAGUUUCGUGAAUCGACGGCCUAUACCACCACCCUCUUUGAUGCCCACCAAGGACCGAAUACCCUUCAGACCUGACUUACCAAAAGUCAAUGUGGAGAAGGCACCAUCAAGGCCAGAAGUACAACCGAGACCUAGUAAAGAUGAGAAAACUGAGAAGAAGAAGAGUUUGAAUACCCCCAGUCAGAGUGGCCGUUUGGGGGAUUUUUAUGGGAGUAAGAACGAUAGUAUAAGCAGUUUUGAGUAUGAGAAGAACAAUGUGCCUAGUAUCACGAGGAUUUUGAGCGGGAGUAACGGGAGGCACGACGAUAUUCCUGAUAUUUUAUUAAGAACGGUGACUGCGAACCCGAACGUGGAUCGGAUUGAGAAAGUUGCUAAAACAAGAGCUCCCUCGGCUGAGCCGAGUCUCAAGAGGCAAGAGGAGCCCAAGUUUGAGGCUCCAGCGGAGGAGUACCCUUCUCCGGAGGAACCGCCAGGGGGAACAAAGAAGGAGGUUCUUUCAGAGAGUGUCACGGUGAAAAAGGACGUUAGCGGAGCCCCAGUGCCCGACCAGAAAAAGACUGUUUACGUCGAAGACGUCACCACUCAAAUGUCCGAUAGUGUGAACCUACCCAACGUCAAAGAAAAGGACGCAAACGUGACCGCAGUGGGCUCAGAUCAGAUCUGGCUGAUCUGCUGGAACGUCCAUGUCUACUUAGUGGUCGUCGGUUACAUCUUACUGGCAGCGUUCAGCAUAUUUAAGCUGAUCCGCUACGAGAACGACCCACACAUGUUCUCCAAAUCUUACUUCUUAACCAUCCACCUUAUGCUCACAGUCAUUUGCGUCCUAAGGAUCUUCUAUCUCAUCUACGACCCUUAUAACGAGCACAAGAGCUUCAACAUAUUCCUCUACGACUUUUUGCACACGUUUCCCUUAAGCCUGCUGGCCACCACCUUCGCCGUUCUGAUUCUCUUCCUGCUGAAACGCACUCUGACCCACUUGGAAGUGAAAACCAGACCGGUGAUCCUGGUGGUGUUCGCUUUGCUGCACAUCCUCCUCUGCUUCUGCUUAAGCAUCUUUGAAUCGUUGGGAAUCGGCUUGGAGAGGGCGUCAGUGUGCAAGCCGGUCUUCGUACUGCUCGCCUGGGCUUUGGGAUUCAGUUAUCUCUACUUGUAUCGGAUUAUCAAGAACGUGUUGGCGAAAAAGAGUCAGAACUUAUCGGAGAUGUGCACCCAAAACAUCUCUUACGCCAGUCAUAUUACCAUUGCCGUAGCCCUCUUGUUUAUUCUCUUGGGACUGGUGCAGCUGUACGCCUUGUUCUUUAUUAAAGUCGAUAAGUUCACUGUGCCCCACCAUUGGAUCCUAUGGGGGUUCGAGUUGAGCGUGAGAUUUAUAGAGAUCUCCAUUAUAACCCUCUUGGCUAUCGUGGUGAGCCUGAGGAUGUCCCAGAGGGAGAAACAGGCCUCCGGCGGGUUCCCGCUGUUCCCUUGCACCACAAGUGACUCUAGCACCGACAACAUUUACCCGAACAAUUGCACCACGAACCCUAACGCACUGAAUUACAGUAGGCAGGAGAUGAUUUUGGAUAAUAUCCCGGCAGAACCUAUAGAGAGGCCCAAUUUGUUAAAGAACGCCUUCCAGAACGAUUCUUUUGACAAGAAAAGUACCCUGGAGAGGUAUCAGAGUGACUCUGAAAGGAACUCGAACUUUGACAGGUUCGAGAGGCCCAAGUGGGGCUCGGAUCGCUUCGAUUCCAGACAAAAUAUGGAUCAGAGCAGUUUGAGUAGUAACUUCGGGCAGCCGAGCAGCGGCAACUUUGACCGAACCGGCCACAACUCCUUGCAUAACUCCAUUAGGAACGACAUAAGGAACUCGGGAAGGAAACACUAUGAACCGGCAGCAAAGUACUACACGGGCAACAAUGAAGAGUACCAGAACGAUAUUCUAGCGAACUCCGAAAGGAACAUUUAUAGUGAACCCCUGGAUAACCCUCAGGGGCAUCAGUACGAACGGACCAGACACGAGUUCGAGAGGAACGACUUCGAGAGGAGGAGUCGUAACUCUACGAACACGUCGGGGCGUAGAUCAACGGGUAGGUCGCGGAAGAACCACCCCAGGCCCCACUUGGGGAUCCAGACGUUGCCGAACCACGACAGGAACCAAACGAUGCUGGUGGACGAGCAGGGGUUCGUGCGGUUUAAGGCCCUGCGGGGGGAUCAGAACCACUUUUCGGAUGCAUAAUGUUUGAUCCGCGCAGGGAAGAAAUCUACUAAAGGGGAGGUUUUUCUAUAAAGUGAGACAGGAAUGGGGUUUUUUUGGUGUAGAGGUUUUUGGGGCGGAUUAAAUGGUCGUUAAGGGUCUUUUCUGAAUACAUUUUUAGGGAUUUUCUGGGGUUUUGGGGGAAUUGUUGGUGGUACUGAAAAUUGGUUUUUAUUGUUGGAUUGCCUAAGGGAAAUUAGCGGAAAUGAGUGUGAUAUCCACGGUUUUUUGGCAAAAAUAUUAAUGCAACAUUAAAUGCUAACAGUACCUUACUAAAACUACCUAAAAAAAAUAUUUAAAAUUUAAACACAAAUAGAUAUAAGGAGCAUUUAAAUAAAAUAAUUAAAAUUAAAAUAAUUGAAACUAGCCCAAAAUAAAACCUAACUUAAUAAAAUAUAGAAUUUAUAGAACCACUGGUGGUACCAAAAAUCUAAUUUCACCAAUAGAUUCUACAGGCAAAAACAGUUAAAAACGAGUACCAUGUCGAUGAAUUUAUUUUGAUUUUUAAAAAAGUUUUUUGAUUCUGAGAGAACCAUUGGCGGUACCAAAAAUUUUAUUACACCAUUGAAUUCCCCAGACAAAAUCAGCUGAAAACGAGUACCAUAUCAACGAACAAAUAUAAAAAAAAGUUCAUUUCUGAGAAAAUCAUUGAUGGUACCAAAAGUCUAAUAACACAUCAGCUGAAAAUGAGUACCAUGUCAACGAAAAAUCUUAAUUUAAAAAAAAAAAGCUUAUUUCUGUGAGAACCAUUGAUGGUACCAAAAAUCUAAUUACACCAAUGAAUUUUGUGGACAAAAUCAGCUGAAAACAAGUACCAUGUCGCUGGAUUUAUUUUGAUUUUUAAAAAAGUUUCUUGAUUCUGAGAGAACCAUUGGCGGUACCAAAAAUUCAAUUACAUUAUUGAAUUCCCCAGACAAAAUCAAUUGAAAACGGGUAACAUGUCGACGAAAAAAUUUCGAUUUUUUAAAAAAAGUUAAUUUUUGGGAGAACUAUUGAUGGUACCACUAAUCUAAUUUCACCAUUGGAAUCCUUAGACAAAAUCAGCUGAAAAUGGGCACCAUGUUGAUGGAUUUAUUUUGAUUUUUAAAAAGGUUUUUUGAUUAUAGAGGAACCAUUGAUGGUACCAAAAAUCUAGUUACACCAUUGAAUUCCCUAGGCAAAAUUUGCUGAAAACGAGUACCAUGUCGAUAGAAAAAUUUAGAUUUUUUGAAAAAAAGUUCAUUUCUGAGAGAACCAUUGAUGGUACCAAUGAUCUAUUUUCACCAUUGGAAUCUUUAGACAAAAUCAGCUGAAAAUGGGUACCAUGUUGAUGGACUUAUUUUGUUUUGUAAAAAAGUUUUUUGAUUGUGGGAGAACCAUUGAUGGUACCAAAAAUCUAAUUACACCAUUGAACAUUGUAAACAAAAUCAACUGAAAACGAGUACCAUGUCGACGGAAAAAUUUUUGAUUUUUUAAAAAAAAGUUAAUUUUUGAGAGAACCGUUGAUGGUACCAAUAAUCUAAUUUCACCAUUGAAAUCCCUAGACAAAAUUAGCUGAAAACGAGUACCAUGUCGCUGAAUUUAUUUUGAUUUUUAAAAAAGUUUUUUGAUUCUGAGAGAACCAUUGAUGGUACCAGAAAUCUAUCUUUACUAUUGAAUUCUCUAUAAAAAAUCAGUUGAAAACGAGUACCAUGUCGAUGGAAUUAUUUUUAUUUUUAGUAAAGUUCUUUUGAUUCUGCCAGAACCAUUGAUGGUACCAAAAAUCUAAUUCCACCAUUGAAAUCCCUAGACAAAAUCAGCUAAAAACGAGUCCCAUGUCGGUGAAUUUAUUUUGAUUUUUAAAAAAGUUUUUUGAUUCUGAGAGAACCAUUGAUGGUACCAGAAAUCUAUCUUUACUAUUGAAUUCUCUAUAAAAAAUCAGUUGAAAACGAGUACCAUGUCGAUGGAAUUAUUUUUAUUUUUAAUAAAGUUCUUUUGAUUCUGCCAGAACCAUUGAUGGUACCAAAAAUUUAAUUUCACCAGUGAAAUCCCUAGACAAAAUCAACUAAAAACGAGUACCAUGUCACUGAAUUUAUUUUUAUUUUUUGAGAAAAAGUUCAUUUUUGAGAGAACCGUUAAUGGUACCAAUAAUCUAAUUUCACCAUUGAAAUCCCUAGACAAAAUCAGCUAAAAACGAGUACCAUGUCACUGAAUUUAUUUUGAUUUUUAACAAAAUUUUUUGAUUCUGAGAGAACCAUUGGUGGUACCAAAAAUCUAACUUCACUAUUGAAUUCUCUAUAAAAAAUCAGCUGAAAACGAGUACCAUGUCGAUGGAAUUAUUUUUAUUUUUAGUAAAGUUCUUUUGAUUCUGCCAGAACCAUUGAUGGUACCAAAAAUCUAAUUCCACCAGUGAAAUCCCUAGACAAAAUCAGAUAAACCGAUUACCAUGUUCCUGAAUUUAUUCUGAUUUUUAAAAAAGUUUUUUGAUUCUGAGAGAACCAUUGAUGGUACCAGAAAUCUAAUUUUACCAUUGAAUUCUCUACAAAAAAUCAGCUGAAAACGAGUACCAUGUCGAUGGAAUUAUUUUUAUUUUUAAUAAAGUUCUUUUGAUUCUGCCAGAACCAUUGAUGGUACCAAAAAUUUAAUUUCACCAGUGAAAUCCCUAGACAAAAUCAGCUAAAAACGAGUCCCAUGUCGGUGAAUUUAUUUUGAUUUUUAAAAAAGUUUUUUGAUUCUGAGAGAACCAUUGAUGGUACCAGAAAUCUAUCUUUACUAUUGAAUUCUCUAUAAAAAAUCAGCUGAAAACGAGUACCAUGUCGAUGGAAUUAUUUUUAUUUUUAGUAAAGUUCUUUUGAUUCUGCCAGAACCAUUGAUGGUACCAAAAAUCUAAUUCCACCAUUGAAAUCCCUAGACAAAAUCAGCUAAAAACGAGUCCCAUGUCGGUGAAUUUAUUUGGAUUUUUAAAAUUUUUUUUUGAUUCUGAGAGAAUCAUUGAUGGUACCAAAAGUCUAAUUACACCAUUGAGUUUUGUAAACAAAAUCAGCUGAAAACGAGUACCAUGUUGACGGAAAAAUUUUUGAUUUUUUAAAAAAAAGUUGAUUUUUGAGAGAACCGUUGAUGGUACCAAUAAUCUAAUUUCACCAUUGAAUUCUCUAUAAAAAAUCAGCUGAAAACGAGUACCAUGUCGAUGGAAUUAUUUUAAUUUUUAAAAAAGUGGCACAAUUCUAGGAUGUUUGUACCACAAUAUGGACAACAAAAAUCUCGCUUUAAUAACCCGCUUUUUAGACCCAAAACGACCAUUUUCUCGCGUCAUUAUUAUAAUUUGGAUAAACGUUUCGUUCCUUCUCAUAAAAACCUUUCGUUUGUAGACGUUUUCUCUGUUGCAACGGAUUUUAUGGUGACAUAAUUUUUUAAAACACAUUUUCACACGGUAUAGAGCUCUGGCCUAAAAAGAAAACGCGAUUUUUCUACCAUAGGGGCAUUCGAAAAGUAUUUUAGCAACACACGUGACAAUAUUUCGAAUUUUUUUUUAGCUUUAAUAAUAGUUAUUAAAAAGAAAAACAAAUUAUUUAUUUAUUUGGUUGCAAAGUGCUCUUUUAAAACUUCUUCUUAGGGCCGGGGGGCUCCUUUUAAAGCCCUUUUCGAUACUAGACAUUAUAUUAUAUGAUAAUAAUAUUAAUAAUAAUAAUUAGGUAGAUUUUCAAAGACGAGUUUAUAAGUUUUUCUCCCUGUAUAAGUGAUAUUAAAGAAAAUACUCUAUAACACGCAUUUUUUUCGUUUAAAUGUUUAUUAAGAUAAUAUUUAAAAAAUUAAAACACUAUAUGGUUGUUAGAGAUAUUCGCCCAGGGGUUGGUUAUACAGGCCUGUAUCGCCAAACAAAAAAAAAAAAAACAUUAUUAUAUUUAAAAGUAGUCAUAUAAAUUGUAUAAAUAAAUAUAACCUGUACAUAAGGGGACGACGUUUAAUUUUUAUAACGAUACAGGGUGUUUAAGAAAAAAUAUACUAAUAGAUGCUAAAUCGUGUUGUAUACAAUGUGCUCCCUGUAUAUUCUUAUUUAUUAACAAAAAAAGAGGAAAAUGUUUCGACUGAAUAUUCUUGCGUUCGUCUGUUCUUGAAAUUGACUAUACUACCGUCCUAUUAAGCGUUUGUAAGACCUGCUUAAGGUUUUAUAUAUUUUUUUUAAAUGUCAAGGAACUUACAGAAGCAAAAGCCCUUAAGGUGUUUUUGCUUGAUGGCCCUUGACCUUUUCACCCCUAAGAGAGGGUUCUUAAUGUCACCCCAGGGGUAGUUACAUUUCUUGACAUUUAUGCUUUUUUUUGUACUAUAAUUGUAUGUAUAUAGUUGUACUAAAAAUGAUUUGCCAACUAUUUACACUUGCCAUUUUAUUUUUAUUUUACUUUGUACAUUUUUUUUACAGUAUUAAUGUUUUGUGACGCUAUAGAAAAAGUACGUUGUUUUUUGGUUGUUUUGUGGGAAAACUGCUUUAUGGGUUCCCCCCCCCAACCCCCCCCCUCCCGUUUUAGAUAGAGUUGUCUUAUGUGUACAAGGGUGGCUUAAUGUGUAAUGGGAUUUUGGAAUUUUAAUAAUAUGUUUAAAAAAUCAUCCUGAGUACCAUUGUAAUUAAAAAAAAAUCGAUUUUUCGUGUUUUUAGGAAAAUUAUUGAUGGUAGCAAAAAUCUGAUUUUACCAGAAGAUUAUUUGAGAAAAGUUAAUUGAAAACGAGUAUUAUGUAAAUGGUAAAAAUUUUGAUCUAAAAAAAAGGUUUUUGGGUAAACCGCUGAUGGUACCAAAGAUCUUAUUUCACCAUUGGAUUCUACAGGUAAAAACAGUUAAAAACGAGUUGCAUGUCGUUGGAUUUAUUUUGAUUUUUAGAAAAAAAAAUAUUUUUGAGAGAAUCAUUGAUGGUACCAAAAAUCUAAUUUCAUCAUUGAAUUCUCUAGACAAAAUCAGCUAAAAACGAGUACCAUGUCGAUGGAUUUAUUUUGAUUUUUAAUAUGGUUUUUUUGAUUCUGAGAGAACCAUUGGUGGUACCAAAAAUCUAACUUCACCAUUGAAUUCUCUACAAAAAAUCAGCUGAAAAUGAGUACCAUGUCGAUUGAAUUAUUUUGAUUUUUAAUAAGGUUUUUUUGAUUCUAAGAGAACCAUUGAUGGUACCAAAUAUCUAAUUUUACCAUUGAAUUCUUUACAAAAAAUCAGCUGAAAACGAGUACCAUGUCGUUGGAAGUAUUUUCAUUUUUAAUAAGUUUUUUUUGAUCCUGAGAGAACCAUUGAUGGUACCAAAAAUCUAACUUCACCAUUGAAUUCUCUACAAAAAAUCAGCUGAAAAUGAGUACCAUGAUGAUGGAAUUAUUUUGAUUUUUAAUAAGGUUUUUUUGAUUCUGAGAGAACCAUUGAUGGUACCAAAAAUCUAAUUUCACCAUUGAAUUCUCUACAAAAAAUCAGCUGAAAAUGAGUACCAUGUCGAUGGAAUUAUUUUGAUUAAAAAAAAAUAUUUUUGAGAGAACCAUUGAUGGUACCAACAAUCUAACUUCACCAUCGAAUUCUCUACAAAAAAUCAGCUGAAAACGAGUACCAUGUCGUUGGAAGUAUUUUCAUUUUUAAUAAGUUUUUUUUGAUCCUGAGAGAACCAUUGAUGGUACCAAAAAUCUAACUUCACCAUUGAAUUCUCUACAAAAAAUCAGCUGAAAAUGAGUACCAUGAUGAUGGAAUUAUUUUGAUUUUUAAUAAGGUUUUUUUGAUUCUGAGAGAACCAUUGAUGGUACCAAAAAUCUAAUUUCACCAUUGAAUUUUCUACAAAAAAUCAGCUGAAAAUGAGUACCAUGUCGAUGGAAUUAUUUUGAUUAAAAAAAAAUAUUUUUGAGAGAACCAUUGAUGGUACCAACAAUCUAACUUCACCAUCGAAUUCUCUACAAAAAAUCAGCUAAAAAUGAGUACCAUGUCGAUGGAAUUAUUUUCAUUUUUAAUAAGGUUUUUUUGAUUCUGAGAGAACCAUUGGUGGUACCAAAAAUCUAACUUCACUAUUGAAAUCUCUACAAAAAAUUAGCUGAAAAUGAGUACCAUGUCGAUGGAAGUAUUUUCAUUUUUAAUAAGGUUUUUUUGAUUCUGAGAGAACCAUUAGUGGUACCAAAAAUCUAACUUCAGCAUUGAAUUCUCUACAAAAAAUUAGCUGAAAAUGAGUACCAUGUCGAUGGAAGUAUUUUCAUUUUUAAUAAGGUUUUUUUGAUUCUGAGAGAACCAUUAGUGGUACCAAAAAUCUAACUUCAGCAUCGAAUUCUCUACAAAAAAUCAGCUGAAAAUGAGUACCAUGUCGAUGGAAGUAUUUUCAUUUUUAAUAAGGUUUUUUUGAUUCUGAGAGAACCAUUAGUGGUACCAAAAAUCUAACUUCAGCAUCGAAUUCUCUACAAAAAAUCAGCUGAAAAUGAGUAUCAUGUCGAUGAAAGUAUUUUCAUUUUUAAUAAGGUUUUUUUGAUUCUGAGAGAACCAUUGAUAGUACCAAAAAUCUAAUUUUAUCAUUAAAUUCCCUAGACAAAAUCAGCUAAAAACGAGUACCAUGUCGAUGGAAUUAUUUUGAUUUUUAAUAAGGGUUUUUUGAUUCUGAGAGAACUAUUGAUGGUACCAAAAAUCUAAUUUCACCAUUGAAUUCUCUACAAAAAAUCAGCUGAAAAUGAGUACCAUGUCGACGGAAUUAUUUUCAUUUUUAAUAAGGGUUUUUUGAUUCUGAGAGAACCAUUGAUGGUACCAAAAAUCUAAUUUCACCAUUGAAUUCUCUACAAAAAAUCAGCUGAAAAUGAGUACCAUGUCGACGGAAUUAUUUUCAUUUUUAAUAAGGUUUUUUUGAUUCUGAGAGAACCAUUAGUGGUACCAAAAAUCUAAUUUCACCAUUGAAUUCUCUACAAAAAAUUAGCUGAAAACGAGUACCAUGUCGAUUGAAUUAUUUUCAUUUCUAAUAAGGUUUUUUUUGAUUCUGAGAGAACCAUUGAUGGUAUCAAAAAUCUAAUUUCACCAUUGAAUUCUCUACAAAAAAUUAGCUGAAAAUGAGUACCAUGUCGAUGGAAUUAUUUUGAUUUAAAAAAAAUAUUUUUGAGAGAACCAUUGAUGGUACCAACAAUCUAACUUCACCAUUGAAUUCUCUAUAAAAAAACGAGUACCAUGUCGACAGAAAAAUUUUGAUUUUUAAAAAUGAUUCUUAUUUCUGGGAGAACCGUUAAGGGUACCAUAAUUCUAAUUUCAGAAUUGAAUUUUCCAAAAUAAACGCAAAACAGAUAGAAAACUAGUACCGUGCCAAAACUUCAAAAUUUCUUUUUUUUUAAAUAUUAAAUUUUUAAUGUCCGAAUUUUGUUUGCAACCGCAAAUUUUUCAAAAUCCCAAUAAAGCUUCGAAGCUAGGCCACCCUGUACACUAUUAUUUCUCCUAUUGACCUUUUUGGGCCCCUGUAUAGAAUAAGAAACGAGUUAAAGGGGUGCAUUCCUAGACUUUGACAAGUAGGUUUUUUUUCAUGUACAUAAUAUACAGAGUAUUGCAGAAAAUUAAAAAAAAAAAAAACUUUUCAAUGGGACACCCUAUAUUUAAUUUUCCAAAAAAAAAACAUAUUUAUAGAGGAUCUAUAGUUGGAAAAAAUAAAAGUGUUUUUUAUUUUCUGCCUCACCCUGUAUUAUAAAAAAAAGCCUCCUAACAGGGUGGCCCAAAUACGUUAAGAACCGACCCUGUGGUAUAACAACUGAAAAAAAAGAGCAAAAUACACAGAGUGUGUCAAAACAUACACGUUUUCGCCUCAAAGUAAUUUUUUAAGGCAAAAUUCAGACGCCCUGUAUAUUGGACGCCUGUAAAGUGUUUUUUCAUACCUUGGCUUCGCUAUUUUCUUCAUAAAAAAAUGGGCGUGGCUGUUGAUUGACGACAUCUCCCAGAAACCAUCAUCAACUCGACUUUAAUUACUUCUCACGUGCAAGGAGGCUUUUUAAGAAAAACCUUUAAUUUAAUGAUUGAUGCGUUGCCAUCUCGGUCUGGCACACAGUUCGCGCCAUAUUUUCAUCUCUGUCGCACUCAUUGUGAUGUCAUGAAGUAAGACAUUUUUUGACAAAAAAAAAAUGGCGAUAGUUCCUAAAAGACGAUUUUAAAAUGCCACUUGUUACUCUUUAAAAACAAACACUAAACUGCCAGUGUCCCUAUUUUUUUUCAGUUGUUACACCCUGUAUAUUUUUUUAUUAUAAUGGUGUGUCCUAUUCUGCAACAUUCCUCGUUUGUCCAUGUAUGUAAUAGUUUAAUUUAUUUAUUGAAAAAAGGAGCAUGACAAAAAAAAUGUGAUAUAAAGGGUUCCUGGACUGUUGUAAAUCGAACUCUGUGUGACACAUCCCGUUGUCAUACCCUGUAUAUAAAAAAAUGGCUUUUUGUUCCUUUUUUUAUUGACUCUCUCUCUCUCUCUCUCUCUUAAACGUACUUAUAAUAGGCAGCUAACGUUCACUAUCUCUCUUUUUGCCAGUAUUUUAUAUAAAUAUAUAUACGUGCAUAUAGUAUAUGAUAUUAUGUAUUUGUUUUUUCAAAUCUCAAUGUCUGCAGAAAGAAUUAUAUUUAAAGCGAAAGUUGAGCAUAUAGUGACUUAGGUAAAUGUUUUCGAAUUUUAUAUAAGAAAAAUGCAAAGAAUGUAGAUAUUGCGAUUUUUCGAAAUGAUUCGCGACUUUUUUUUUUGUACAUAGUAUAUGUGAUGAAAUGAUCCUUUUUAAAAAUCGAAAUAUUUAUGUAACCGAUUCGAUUUUUUGUUGUAUAUUAUAACUGUAAAAUAUAAACAUAUUAUGAUAUGUA